AGCUGGCGGACGAGUCCCAAAUAGGACGAAAUGCGCGUUAUCCUGGAU
rnacentral:hammerhead_ribozyme from 1 species